GAUGAACGCUGGCGGCGUGCCUAAUACAUGCAAGUCGAGCGAACAGAUAAGGAGCUUGCUCCUUUGACGUUAGCGGCGGACGGGUGAGUAACACGUGGGUAACCUACCUAUAAGACUGGGAUAACUUCGGGAAACCGGAGCUAAUACCGGAUAACAUUUGGAACCGCAUGGUUCUAAAGUGAAAGAUGGUUUUGCUAUCACUUAUAGAUGGACCCGCGCCGUAUUAGCUAGUUGGUAAGGUAACGGCUUACCAAGGCGACGAUACGUAGCCGACCUGAGAGGGUGAUCGGCCACACUGGAACUGAGACACGGUCCAGACUCCUACGGGAGGCAGCAGUAGGGAAUCUUCCGCAAAGGGCGAAAGCCUGACGGAGCAACGCCGCGUGAGUGAUGAAGGGUUUCGGCUCGUAAAACUCUGUUAUUAGGGAAGAACAAACGUGUAAGUAACUGUGCACGUCUUGACGGUACCUAAUCAGAAAGCCACGGCUAACUACGUG
rnacentral:rRNA from 1 species